UCCCUGGUGGCUCAGAUGGUAAAGCAUCUGCCUGCAGUGCAGGAGACCUGGGUUCGAUCCCUGGGUUGGGAA
rfam:TPA: Bos taurus chromosome 10, whole genome shotgun sequence.